GAUUCCGUGGUAUAAUUGUGAGCACUCUGGACUUUGAAUCCAGAUGGUCCGACUUCAAAUCUAGGUGAGAUCU
rnacentral:tRNA from 1 species